GUCGCCGCUUCACUCCCCGGUGAACUACUCCGCUCCGCCGGUCCGCAACUUGAUCACAGACCGCUGGAGUAAUGUCGUUAAAAGCAGCGAGGAAGUCUGCUGCAGCAGCGGCGACUUUAAUCUCUCCGCACAGCAGUGGAAGUUGCUAUUGUCACCGAGUCCAGGCACUUGACAGGUAACAGCGCUCGGCAGAAGCGAAAACUCGCAAACUGGGGAAUAAAAACCGAGGGAUGGCUGAGCACGUAUGCGUGUUGUUGCCACAGAGGCAGCUGGCGUCACUGUUACCGCUGACUUCCCAUAAGUGUAGCUGAGCCUUCGGGGACCCUGGGAGUCAUGGAAGCCAGCGGCACCACCCAAGAGACGCCUCGUCUCUGGUGUAAUGACCUGAAAUCAACAGACUUGUUCACGGCAGCCCAAAGGAAGACCUUCUUAAAUACGGCCUUGGAUGGCUUUUAUUGACCUUUGAGUUGAACAUGGACCAUGGCUUAUUAUUUUGUCAGCUCUGUAGAGAUAAUUAGACUCAAAGAUUCAGACAUUCAGUGGCAUAGCAGUUUUAAUAUAAUCAUCUUUUGCUCUUUGCCAUCCUGUUCGUUAGUCUCACUAUGAGAGCAGAAGAUGAUCAUUUCCUCAAAUGAUUUAGCAAUCAUAAUAUUGUAAUCAUAAAUCUGUAAUAUUGUGUCGGACUAAAGCUUGCAAGAUUCCCUCUAAACACACUGAAAGCAGAGGAAGGCACAUUAAUGAUGACAAAAGGAAAAUUCCAAUCCAUCAAUUUAGUUUGUAAGACUUGGUCAAACAGUACAGCAAAAAUUUUAGAUGAAAUA